rnacentral:rRNA from 1 species
GCGUUAUCCGGAUUUAUUGGGUUUAAAGGGUGCGUAGGCGGGCUGUUAAGUCAGAUGUGAAAGCCCGGGGCUCAACCCCGGUACUGCAUUUGAAACUGUCCAGCUGGAGUGCAGGAGAGGUAAGCGGAAUUCCUAGUGUAGCGGUGAAAUGCGUAGAUAUUAGGAGGAACACCAGUGGCGAAGGCGGCUUACUGGACUGUAACUGACACUGAGGCACGAAAGCGUGGGGAGCAAACAG